rnacentral:lncRNA from 1 species
GGAGGAAGAGGGAAAGGAAAGGUCUUUCUGUACUGACUGUACUGUUUCCUUGGCCAGGCAGCACAGCCUCUCUCAAGACUAUGAGUGGGAGUUUCUUGGAGCAGGUUCCCCUCCACAGCCUGAUGCUGGCAGGGCAGAGCCCUGCAGCAGGCACAGCAUCGUGGACCUGGAGACUGAGGAGCUGGAGAGUGAUGAGGAGUGGCAGCAGCUGAGUGAGGACACUGAGGCCUCAGCCAUGCAGCUGAGCAUGCCUCUGGGCCUGCUGAGGGACCCAGCUUUCCAGCACCGUGUCCGGGACCGCCUGGCAGACUCUGCUCAGCAGGUGCUAGAAGGGAUGCUGGAGGGAGCCUCCCAUCUUCGUUCUGUGCUUCGUGUUAUUGGCAACCUCCUGUCUACCCAGUGUGAUGCUGAGCUCCUGGACCACUUCUGCCAAGAGCUGAAUGUGCCUCUGUCCCUGCUGUGUCUAGCCAAGCAGAUCCUGGAAAGUGCUGUCACCAAGCAGCAGCCCUGGUGUAUCGCUGUGCUGACAGACCUCCUCAUGGUGACCAAAGUUUAUUUCAGCAGUGAAUGUAGCCUGGAGGAGAGUGGGCAAAAGGACAGGUAGGGACAACCUUCUGUUCCCUGAGGUCUCGUGUGGUCACUUUGGGGACCACAGGCAGUAGGUGGAAGGGUGAUGUUCAUACUCUGCAGCUGGAGCUGUCUCUGUGGGGCAGCAUCAUGGUCUAAGUGCUUCAUGCCAUAUUGCUGUGCUCAGAGGAGCACUUUCCUUGAACGGGAUUAACUGAAGGCAAGGCACAGCUGACAAGUCUGG